UAUUCGCCCUUAGAGUUUGAUCCUGGCUCAGGAUGAACGCUAGCUACAGGCUUAACACAUGCAAGUCGAGGGGAAACGACAUCGAAAGCUUGCUUUUGAUGGGCGUCGACCGGCGCACGGGUGAGUAACGCGUAUCCAACCUGCCCAUCACUUGGGGAUAACCUUGCGAAAGUAAGACUAAUACCCAAUGAUAUCUCUAGAAGACAUCUGAAAGAGAUUAAAGAUUUAUCGGUGAUGGAUGGGGAUGCGUCUGAUUAGCUUGUUGGCGGGGUAACGGCCCACCAAGGCGACGAUCAGUAGGGGUUCUGAGAGGAAGGUCCCCCACAUUGGAACUGAGACACGGUCCAAACUCCUACGGGGGGCAGCAGUGAGGAAUAUUGGUCAAUGGGCGAGAGCCUGAACCAGCCAAGUAGCGUGCAGGAUGACGGCCCUAUGGGUUGUAAACUGCUUUUAUAAGGGAAUAAAGUGAGUCUCGUGAGACUUUUUGCAUGUACCUUAUGAAUAAGGACCGGCUAAUUCUGUGCCAGCAGCCGCGGUAAUACGGAAGGUCCGGGCGUUAUCCGGAUUUAUUGGGUUUAAAGGGAGCGUAGGCCGGAGAUUAAGCGUGUUGUGAAAUGUAGACGCUCAACGUCUGCACUGCAGCGCGAACUGGUUUCCUUGAGUACGCACAAAGUGGGCGGAAUUCGUGGUGUAGCGGUGAAAUGCUUAGAUAUCACGAAGAACUCCGAUUGCGAAGGCAGCUCACUGGAGCGCAACUGACGCUGAAGCUCGAAAGUGCGGGUAUCGAACAGGAUUAGAUACCCUGGUAGUCCGCACGGUAAACGAUGGAUGCCCGCUGUUGGUCUGAAUAGGUCAGCGGCCAAGCGAAAGCAUUAAGCAUCCCACCUGGGGAGUACGCCGGCAACGGUGAAACUCAAAGGAAUUGACGGAAGGGCG
rnacentral:rRNA from 1 species